UACAGAGGUCCCGAGCGUUGUUCGGAUUCACUGGGCGUAAAGGGUGCGUAGGUGGUGAGGUAAGUCGGAUGUGAAAUCUCCAGGCUCAACCUGGAAACUGCAUUGGAAACUACCUUGCUGGAGGAUUUGAGGGGGGGGAUUGGAAUACUUGGUGUAGCAGUGAAAUGCGUAGAUAUCAGGAGGAACACCGGUGGCGAAGGCGGGUCUCUGGGCCACUACUGACGCUGAGAAGCGAAAGCGUGGGGAGCGAACAGG
rnacentral:rRNA from 1 species